UAGGGAAUCUUCGGCAAUGGACGAAAGUCUGACCGAGCAACGCCGCGUGAGUGAAGAAGGUUUUCGGAUCGUAAAACUCUGUUGGUAGAGAAGAACGUUGGUGAGAGUGGAAAGCUCAUCAAGUGACGGUAACUACCCAGAAAGGGACGGCUAACUACGUGCCAGCAGCCGCGGUAAUACGUAGGUCCCGAGCGUUGUCCGGAUUUAUUGGACGUAAAGCGAGCGCAUGUGGUUUAUUAAGUCUGGUGUAAAAGGCAGUGGCUCAACCAUUGUAUGCAUUGGAAACUUGUAGACUUGAGUGCAGGAGAGGAGAGUGGAAUUCCAUGUGUAGCGGUGAAAUGCGUAGAUAUAUGGAGGAACACCGGUGGCGAAAGCGGCUCUCUGGCCUGUAACUGACACUGAGGCUCGAAAGCGUGGGGAGCAAACA
rnacentral:rRNA from 1 species